rnacentral:snoRNA from 1 species
UAGGCCCUGAAUCAAGGCCGGCAGCUUCCUGACGCUGCUGGUUUCAAGCAGGAGCCUAAAGAGAUGUCUUUCUAUGGUCUGUUGGCCAUUUCAGAACUUGGACAGUGACAUGGCCAGUUCUGUUGGCCAUUUCAGAACUUGGGCAGUGACAUGGCCAGUUCAUUAGAAAGAAACAGCU